rnacentral:rRNA from 1 species
CUACGGGCGGCAGCAGUGAGGAAUAUUGCACAAUGGGGGGAACCCUGAUGCAGCAACGCCGCGUGGAGGAUGACGCAUUUCGGUGUGUAAACUCCUUUUACAUGUCAAGAAAAUGACGGUAGCAUAUGAAUAAGCACCGGCUAACUCCGUGCCAGCAGCCGCGGUAAUACGGAGGGUGCAAGCGUUACUCGGAAUCACUGGGCGUAAAGGACGCGUAGGCGGGUUGGAAAGUCAGGUGUGAAAUCCUACAGCUUAACUGUAGAACUGCACUUGAAACUUCUAGUCUUGAGUAUGGGAGGGGGAGAUGGAAUUAGUGGUGUAGGGGUAAAAUCCGUAGAUAUCACUAGGAAUACCUAAAGCGAAGGCGAUCUCCUGGAACAUUACUGACGCUAAGGCGUGAAAGCGUGGGGAGCAAACAGGAUUAGAUACCCCAGUAGUC